rnacentral:tRNA from 1 species
CGGGGCGUAGCGCAGUCUGGUAGCGCACUUGACUGGGGGUCAAGGGGCCGGAGGUUCGAAUCCUCUCGCCCCGA